GAGAUCGCGCCACUGCACUCCAGCCUGGGCAACAGAGCGAGACGCGUCUCAAAAAAAAAAAAAAAAGAAGGGGCCACAGGACAAGGAAUGCAGGAAGCUUCUAGUUGCAGAGAGAAUCGCAACCUCCAGAUGAGGACUCCAGUGAGCUGACAUCUCUGCUUCAGCCAUGUGAUGCCCUGAACGUAUAACACAGCAGAGCCUGCAUGAGCUUAGGACCUACAGAACUAUGGAGUCUCGCUCUUGUUGCCCAGGCUGGAAUACUACUUUUAUAAUCAAGAAAAAAAUGGUGGAACUGAAGCUCAGCAACUUGCAUAAGGCCACACAGCUAAGAAGUGGAGAAACUGGGAUUUGAUCAGAGCCUGCCUGACAUCAAAGCCCCCAAAGGAUGAUGGUGAUGUUGAUAAUAAUCAGAAUACUGUUGAAGCCUGGGUGCGGUGGCUCAUGUCUGUAAUCCCAGCACUUUGGGAGGCCCAGGCAGGAGGAUCGCUUCAGUCCAGGAGUUCAAGACCAGCCUGGCAAACAUAGUGAGACUUCCUCUCUACAAAAACUAAACAAAAUUAGCCUGGUGUGGUGGCACCUGCGGUCCCAGGUAGCUACUCGGGAGGCUGAGGCAGGAGGAUCACUUCAGCCUGGGAAGUUGAGGCUGUAGUGAACCAAGAUCGCACUGCUGUACUCAGCCUGGGAGACACAGCAAGACCUUGUCUCAAAAAAGAAAAUAAUAAUAAUAUGGUUGAGUAUCCCUAAUCUGAAAAUCUGAAAUCUGAAAUGUGCCAAAAUCCCAAACUUUUUGAGCAUUGAUGUAAUGCUCAACAGAAAUGCUCACUGGAGCAUUUUGGAUUUCAUAUUUUCAGAUUAGGAAUGCUCAACUGGUAAAUAUAAUGCAAAUAUUCCAAAAUCCAAAACAAUCUGAAUUCUGACACACUUCUGGUCCCAAGCAUUUCGGAUGAGGGAUACUUAGCCUGUAAUAGUAAUAAGAGCUAUUAUUAGUUGAGCGCCUACUGUAUGCUAAGCUUUGCAAGCAUGAUCUCAUUUUCUUCUCCCAGUAACCGUUUGAGGCAGGUAGAGAGGACAAUGUUGUUGACUGACUCCUCGACCUCCAUCCCAGCCCAGCCACAGGCACUGGAACCAAUGAGUCUAAGCCAAUCAUGAGACUUGCAUCUUUUUGCCAGAGUUUGGUUUCGGAAUGGGCCUCUGACCUACCUCAGGCUAAUGAGAAGUGGAGAGAAGUUUGCCAGACGCUUCUGGGAAAGUUCUUCCUCACUCUUCCAGGAAGAUGGCCUGGAAGUGAAUCUAUUUUCCUACCAGACAUGAAAGAGGAUGCCCGUGGCCCUGAUAGCUCCUGGCAGUCAUCCUGCGAUCACGAGGAGGACCAGCCUGAGGAUGAAACCAACACUGUGGACGGAGACAUGGAAAAAGCCUGGCUCCAGGAUGAGAUCACUAGGCUGCUGGAUCUCCUGCUCCCCAGUCCUAGAAGUGUCCUGUGUGGGGAGCCAGGGGAGCCUGUUCCAGUAAAGCACGCUUGAGUUUUAUUACCC